CCGCGCUAGUGGUGUUGCCGUUGGUGUGUUACUAGUUAACUGGAAUCCUUGGAUUAGAAACUCCCGCGGCGCCGGGAGCACGGCGUGCAGAGGGCUGAGAACAGAGAUGCUUCCUUAGUUUGCGUUUAGUUUGGAUAGGGAGGGUUAGAAAGUUUUCUAUCCCACGUCAUUUUGGUAGGGUCAGCUGGACUUAAAGAAAAGCUAAUGCAGCUGUUUGAUAACGGCAAAAAGGGUAAUUUAAAUUGUUUUCUGGUCUUCCACAUAGCCCGUAAGUGGCACAGAAAUGGCAUCAAGAAACCCAGAUCCCAUAGAUACGAAUCUCUCAAAGGGGUUGAUCCCAAGUUUCUGAGGAACAUGAGAUUUGCAAAGAAACACAACAAAAAGGGGCUGAAGAAGAUGCAGGCCAACAAUGCCAAGCAGGCUGCUCAGCAGAAAAAGGACUGACAUGGUUUAAGACAAAAGAACCAGUUUUCUUAUUAGCAUGCGUGUUACAGCAUUUUUGUAAAAAUAAAACUGGAUGUAACAAAGUCUUCACCUCCCGAAUUUGAGGAGAGCCCUCCAAAC